UUGAUCCUGGCUCAGGACGAACGCUGGCGGCGUGCCUAACACAUGCAAGUCGAACGAAGUUACUUAGCGGAAAUUUUCGGAUGGAAGUUAAGUAUACUUAGUGGCGGACGGGUGAGUAACGCGUGGGCAACCUACCCAUAAGCGGGGGACAACAGUUGGAAACGACUGCUAAUACCGCAUAAACUAGUCGAGACACAUGUCUUAACUAGCAAAGAUGGCCUCUUAACAAAGCUAUCACUUAUGGAUGGGCCCGCGUCUGAUUAGCUAGUUGGUGGGGUAACGGCCUACCAAGGCAACGAUCAGUAGUCCGGCCUAAGAGGGGUGAACGGCCAUCACUGGGAUGAGACACCGGCCAGACUCCUACGGAGGCAGCAUGGGAAUAUUGCGCAAUGGGGGAACCCUGACGCAGCGACGCCGCGUGAGCGAUGAAGGCCUUCGGUCGUAAAGCUCUGUUGUAACGGGACGAGUGUUCCAUGUAGUAACUGACAUGGAAAUGACGGUACCUUACGAGGAAGCCCCGGCUAACUACGUGCCAGCAGCCGCGGUAAGACGUAGGGGGCGAGCGUUGUCCGGAAUUACUGGGCGUAAAGAGCACGUAGGCGGGUGUUUAAGUCAGGUGUGAAAGACCGCAGCUUAACUGCGGGAUUGCACUUGAAACUGGGCAUCUUGAGGGCAGGAGAGGACAGUAGAAUUCCUGGUGUAGCGGUGAAAUGCGUAGAAAUCAGGAGGAAUACCAGUGGCGAAGGCGACUGUCUGGACUGACCCUGACGCUGAGGUGCGAAAGCGUGGGUAGCAAACAGGAUUAGAUACCCUGGUAGUCCACGCUGUAAACGAUGGAUACUAGGUGUAGGAGGUAUCGACCCCUUCUGUGCCGCAGUUAACGCAAUAAGUAUCCCGCCUGGGGAGUACGGUCGCAAGGCUGAAACUCAAAGGGAAUUGACGGGGGCCCGCACAAGCGGUGGAGCAUGUGGUUUAAUUCGAUGCAACGCGAAGAACCUUACCAGGUCUUGACAUCCAACGAAUUUUGUGGAAACACAGAAGUGCCUUAGGGAGCGUUGAGACAGGUGGUGCAUGGUGUCGUCAGCUCGUGUCGUGAGAUGUUGGGUUAAGUCCCGCAACGAGCGCAACCCUUGCUAUUAGUUGCUAACAGAUAAUGCUGAGCACUCUAAUGGACCGCCUGUGUACAAGCAGGAGAAGGUGGGGAUGACGUCAAAGCAUCAUGCCCUUUAUGACCUGGGCUACACACGUGCUACAAUGGAUGGUACAGAGAGGAGCGAGGCCGCGAGGUAGAGCGAAUCUCAAAAAGCCAUUCUCAGUUCGGAUUGGAGUCUGCAACUCGACUCCAUGAAGUCGGAAUCGCUAGUAAUCGCGAAUCAGCAUGUCGCGGUGAAUGC
rnacentral:rRNA from 1 species